UGGUUUUCUUAAAAUUCAUGUUUUCCAGGCUGAGAGUGUGGAGCCCCAGUGAGGGAGGCAGCAUGAUGUGGGAGCCUGAAGGCCGUGACUUUGGGACCUGUCAGGGACAGCCGAGUUUUAUCCCAUGCAGUGAACCGUGGGCCAAUCAUUUAACCUCUGAGCCUCAGUUUUCCUGUUCACAGGAGAUGGAUAAUCAUACUUAACCUCAGCACAUUGCAAGGAUUAAGUCAGCCAAGGCGUUUAGAAGCAUUUUGUGUGGGGUGGGUUUUAAUAACUAAGUUCCCUCUCAAGGCUUUGCUGCUCUCAAUUCAGGGGGGGCGGUUCCUUGUUUCAGGUGCCUUCAUAAGGACUGAUGAGGGAAAAAAUGGGUGUAAAGCAAAUCAGUGGGCUGGGCGUGGUAGCUCACACCUGUAAUCCCAGCACUCUGCGAGGCGCAGGUAGGCAGAUCGCAUGACCGGUAUGAGCCACACAGCAAAACCCCAUCUCUACAAAAAUACAAAAAUUAGCCAGUUGUGGCCAUGCACACCUGUAGUCCCAGCUCCUCAGGAGGCUGAGGUGGGGAGAUCAGUGGAGCUGGGAGGUCGAGGCUGCAGUGAGUGGAGAUGGCACCACUUGCCCUCCAGCCUGGGCAACAGGGUUUAAAAAAAACAAAAAAAGAAAACCAGUUUUGGAAAACCAGUGAUGUUUAAUGUUUAGGAAAUCAAUCUUCGGAGACUUCAUCCAGGAAAUCUCUGCUUGGCCUGACCAGAAAUUCUCUCUAGUUUAGAUUGACUUGGCAUCACGUUGGGGACCUGUCAGUCACAUGCAGACUUAUAUCCCCACCACACAAUCAAUUCACUGAUGCAGAGGAGUGCAUUUUGUGUUUCUUCAGGUUCCAUGGUUCUGGGCUGGCAUUUAGGAACAUGAGAGACUGAGUAAUUGAAUGGAAGAAAGGCAAAACUGCCCUCUAGCUGUAGUGGUACAUUUUACGUAGAGGCUUUUUAUCUGCUUCCAUGUCUCAGGUCAGGAGUUUUGCUGUAGAGGAAGAGGAGGCUGGUAAGAGCAGGUGGUUUUUAUGACUCAGUGAUCUGCACAGUGCUUGCUUCUUGGUGAAAGACAGGGCAGGUCCACAUCCAGUGCUAAGGGGCUGCCAUGUGAAAAGCUCACUCGCCUGCAGGCUUGGGAAAAAAAACACUUAACACUUGGAGAGGCUACUGUUGCCUGUGGCUAGGGUGAGUGGAUUGGAAGGCUUAAAAUUACUCCUACUAAUGUAAUAAUUAAUUGGCUUUGAGGCUGGGAGAGGCCCUGAAGUGACUCAUUUUCCAUUUGUUUUUCAGACUCAUCUCCAGCUUUUAUAGCCUUUCAUGCUUUCCCCAAUGGAAGCAUCUGCAACAUGACAGUGCAGUGUCGCAGCCAAGACAUCUGCCAGGAUGCCGUCAAGAUCCCCCAAUCCCGGGCCCCUCGUGCUGCCCUGUGUUCCGCCCUCCCUCCACAGCCCCCAGCAACUGCUGAUCUGUUCUUCAUCUCCAGAACUUCGUCAUUUCAAGAAUGUUAUAUAAAUGGAAUCAAACGGUAUAUAACCUUUUGGGUUGACUUUUUUCAUUCAGCGUAACCCCCUGAGGUCCGUGCAGAUUGUUGCUGUAUCAGUAGUUCAUAGAUAUUUUCAUUGCUGAGUGGUGUUUGAUGACAUGGACAUACCACAGUGUGUUUAACCACUGAAAGACCUUUCCGGUUUUCAGCUGUUAUGAAUAAAGCUCUCAUAAACAUU